rnacentral:rRNA from 1 species
AUUGAACGCUGGCGGCAGGCUUAACACAUGCAAGUCGAACGGUAACAUAAAGAAGCUUGCUUCUUUGAUGACGAGUGGCGGACGGGUGAGUAAUGCUUGGGAAUCUGGCUUAUGGAGGGGGAUAACUACGGGAAACUGUAGCUAAUACCGCGUAGAAUCGAGAGAUGAAAGUGUGGGACCUUCGGGCCACAUGCCAUAGGAUGAGCCCAAGUGGGAUUAGGUAGUUGGUGAGGUAAAGGCUCCCCAAGCCGACGAUCUCUAGCUGGUCUGAGAGGAUGACCGGCCACACUGGUACUGAGACACGGGCCAUACACUUACCGCAAGUAUCAGGGGAUACUUUUUCUAUAAUGUCUUAGCCUAAGGCCGGCAAAAGGCCUGAAUCAGUAUAAACGUUGUUUUGUUUUUUUCUUCGUUAGCUUUUACCCGAUUACGUCAUCUAAAGCUCGACUCUCGUUCUUAGUGGGAUAAAUGC